UACGGGGGGAGCAAGCGUUGUUCGGAUUUACUGGGCGUAAAGGGUGUGUAGGCGGUUGUUUAAGUUUGGUGUGAAAUCUCCCGGCUCAACUGGGAGGGUGCGCCGAAUACUGAAUGACUUCGAGUGCGGGAGAGGAAAGUGGAAUUCCUGGUGUAGCGGUGAAAUGCGUAGAUAUCAGGAGGAACACCGGUGGUGUAGACGGCUUUCUGGACCGUAACUGACGCUGAGACACGAAAGCGUGGGUAGCAAACAGG
rnacentral:rRNA from 1 species